ACAUGCCUACAACAUAGCGUUAAUGCAUCGGAUUCCAUUAGAACACUACAGUUAAGAAUGCUCAGGAUAUAGUAGUACUAGGAUGGGUGACCACCCAAGAAGUCCUAGUGUUUUACAUGCC
rnacentral:rRNA from 1 species